UACGUAGGUGGCAAGCGUUGUCCGGAUUUACUGGGCGUAAAGGGAGCGUAGGUGGAUAUUUAAGUGGGAUGUGAAGUACUCGGGCUUAACCUGAGUGCUGCAUUCCAAACUGGAUAUCUAGAGUGCAGGAGAGGAAAGUAGAAUUCCUAGUGUAGCGGUGAAAUGCGUAGAGAUUAGGAAGAAUACCAGUGGCGAAGGCGACUUUCUGGACUGUAACUGACACUGAGGCUCGAAAGCGUGGGGAGCAAACAGG
rnacentral:rRNA from 1 species